UACGGGGGGGGCAAGCGUUUGUUCGGAAUUACUGGGCGUAAAGGGCGCGUAGGUGGCCAACUAAGUCAGACGUGAAAUCCCUCGGCUUAACCGGGGAACUGCGUCUGAUACUGGAUGGCUUGAGUUUGGGAGAGGGACGCGGAAUUCCAGGUGUAGCGGUGAAAUGCGUAGAUAUCUGGAGGAACACCGGUGGCGAAGGCGGCGUCCUGGACCAAUACUGACACUGAAACGCGAAAGCCAGGGGAGCAAACGGG
rnacentral:rRNA from 1 species